AACGAACGCUGGCGGCGUGCCUAACACAUGCAAGUCGAACGGGAUUAUGGGGCUUGCUCCUUAAUCUAGUGGCGCACGGGUGAGUAACGCGUGGAUAAUCUACCCGAUGAUCUGGGAUAACAUUUCGAAAGAGGUGCUAAUACCGGAUAAGCCCACGGGGUCUUCGGACUCUGCGGGAAAAGGGGGGGACCUUCGGGCCUUCUGGCAUCGGAUGAGUCCGCGUACCAUUAGCUAGUUGGCGGUGUAAGAGACCACCAAGGCGACGGUGGUUAGCUGGUCUGAGAGGAUGAUCAGCCACACUGGAACUGAGACACGGUCCAGACUCCUACGGGAGGCAGCAGUGGGGAAUUUUGCGCAAUGGGGGAAACCCUGACGCAGCAACGCCGCGUGAGUGAUGAAGGCCUUCGGGUCGUAAAGCUCUGUCAGAGGGAAAGAAAUGUAUUGUGGCUAAUAUCCACGAUGCUUGACGGUACCCUCAAAGGAAGCACCGGCUAACUCCGUGCCAGCCGCCGCGGUAAGAC
rnacentral:rRNA from 1 species